CGUGAGUGAAGAAGGCUUUCGGGUCGUAAAGCUCUGUCAAGUGGGAAGAAUCUGUCCUAUGUUAAUACCAUGGGGCACUGACGGUACCAUUGAAGGAAGCACCGGCUAACUCCGUGCCAGCAGCCGCGGUAAUACGGAGGGUGCAAGCGUUAUUCGGAAUUACUGGGCGUAGAGGGCGCGUAGGCGGCUUUUUAAGUCGGGCGUGAAAGCCCGGGGCUAAACCCCGGAAGGGCGUUCGAAACUAAAAGGCUUGAGUACGGGAGAGGGAAGUGGAAUUCCUGGUGUAGAGGUGAAAUUCGUAGAUAUCAGGAGGAACACCGGUGGCGAAGGCGACUUCCUGGACCGAUACUGACGCUGAGGCGCGAAAGCGUGGGGAGCAAACAGGAUUAGAGACCCUGGUAGUCCACGCUGUAAACGAUGAACACUAGGUGUAGCGGGUAUUGACUCCUGCUGUGCCGCAGCUAACGCAUUAA
rnacentral:rRNA from 1 species